UUUUCUCAAUUUUAAUUACUCUAUGUGUCUCCUAUCUCGAAAAAUUUUCCAACCAAAGUUGAUUGCUGUCUUUCCCAAUUCUUCUCUGAAAAAAAAAAGGGAAUGUGAUUAAUAUCAUUGAAGGUGAGGAAGAAUCUGACUGAGGAAGGGUGAAAAGGGGAGCGAAAGAGUAAAGAGUAGAGGAAAGGAGAUGGGCGUUAUCAUUCAUCUACCCAUAAAAGGUCUGCUGUAGGAAAUCGAAUUGUCAAGAAAAAUUGUUUUUCUAGCCUGAAGUAUAUUAUGGUGGUAUUAGGAAGACUGAGGUGAAGAUUCCAGAUUCUGCAGAUAUUGAAUCAAAUUCACUGUUCACGGCAUGUAAAAUUUUCCAGCAGUUAAUUUUUCUAUCUAUGGGGCUGUGACGGUUGAUGGUUACUACAUUUUCCUUUAAUUACUUCUCAAUCUUUUGACUUUGGACUUGGUUUGAUUUAUCUUUCUCUUUGCAAUGUUUGUUUUAUUCAUUGGCUUAUA